GAUGAACGCUGGCGGCGUGCUUAACACAUGCAAGUCGAACGGUGAAAGCGGAGCUUGCUCUGCUGGAUCAGUGGCGAACGGGUGAGUAACACGUGAGCAAUCUGCCCCUGACUCUGGAUAAGCGCUGGAAACGGCGUCUAAUACCGGAUACGAGCUGCGAAGGCAUCUUCAGCAGCUGGAAAGAACUUCGGUCAGGGAUGAGCUCGCGGCCUAUCAGCUAGUUGGUGAGGUAACGGCUCACCAAGGCGUCGACGGGUAGCCGGCCUGAGAGGGUGACCGGCCACACUGGUCCUGAGACACGGCCCAGACUCCUACGGGAGGCAGCAGUGGGGAAUAUUGCACAAUGGGCGAAAGCCUGAUGCAGCAACGCCGCGUGAGGGACGACGGCCUUCGGGUUGUAAACCUCUUUUAGCAGGGAAGAAGCGAAAGUGACGGUACCUGCAGAAAAAGCGCCGGCUAACUACGUGCCAGCCACCGCCGUAA
rnacentral:rRNA from 1 species